rnacentral:rRNA from 1 species
ACGGGUGCGUAACGCGUGGGAAUCUGCCCUUAGGUUCGGAAUAACAGCUGGAAACGGCUGCUAAUACCGGAUGAUGACGAAAGUCCAAAGAUUUAUUGCCUGAGGAGGAGCCCGCGUUGAAUUAGGUAGUUGGUGGGGUAAAGGCCUACCAAGCCGACGAUCCAUAGCUGGUCUGAGAGGAUGAUCAGCCACACUGGGACUGAGACACGGCCCAGACUCCUACGGGAGGCAGCAGUGGGGAAUAUUGGACAAUGGGCGAAAGCCUGAUCCAGCAAUGCCGCGUGAGUGAUGAAGGCCCUAGGGUUGUAAAGCUCUUUUACCCGGGAAGAUAAUGACUGUACCGGGAGAAUAAGCCCCGGCUAACUCCGUGCCAGCAGCCGCGGUAAUACGGAGGGGGCUAGCGUUGUUCGGAAUUACUGGGCGUAAAGCGCACGUAGGCGGCUUUGUAAGUCAGAGGUGAAAGCCUGGAGCUCAACUCCAGAACUGCCUUUGAGACUGCAUCGCUUGAAUCCAGGAGAGGUCAGUGGAAUUCCGAGUGUAGAGGUG